rnacentral:rRNA from 1 species
AUGAACGCUGGCGGCGUGCCUAAUACAUGCCAGUCGAGCGAACAGACGAGGAGCUUGCUCCUUUGACGUUAGCGGCGGACGGGUGAGUAACACGUGGCUAACCUACCUAUAAGACUGGGAUAACUUCGGGAAACCGGAGCUAAUACCGGAUAACAUGUUGAACCGCAUGGAUCAACAGUGAAAGAAGGUCUUGCUGUCACUUAUAGAUGGAUCCGCGCCGCAUUAGCUAGUUGGUAAGGUAACGGCUUACCAAGGCAACGAUGCGUAGCCGACCUGAGAGGGUGAUCGGCCACACUGGAACUGAGACACGGUCCAGACUCCUACGGGAGGCAGCAGUAGGGAAUCUUCCGCAAUGGGCGAAAGCCUGACGGAGCAACGCCGCGUGAGUGAAGAAGGUCUUCGGAUCGUAAAACUCUGUUAUUAGGGAAGAACAAAUGUGUAAGUAACUAUGCACGUCUUGACGGUACCUAAUCAGAAAGCCACGGCUAACUACGUG